rnacentral:rRNA from 1 species
AGUGAACGCUGGCGGUAGGCCUAACACAUGCAAGUCGAACGGCAGCACAGUAAGAGCUUGCUCUUACGGGUGGCGAGUGGCGGACGGGUGAGGAAUACAUCGGAAUCUACUUUUUCGUGGGGGAUAACGUAGGGAAACUUACGCUAAUACCGCAUACGACCUACGGGUGAAAGCAGGGGAUCUUCGGACCUUGCGCGAUUGAAUGAGCCGAUGUCGGAUUAGCUAGUUGGCGGGGUAAAGGCCCACCAAGGCGACGAUCCGUAGCUGGUCUGAGAGGAUGAUCAGCCGCACUGGAACUGAGACACGGUCAAGACUCCUACGAGAGGCAGCAGUGGGGAAUAUUGGACAAUGGGCGCAAACCUGAUCCAGCCAUACCGCGUGGGUGAAGAAGGCCUUCGGGUUGUAAAGCCCUUUUGUCGGGAAAGAAAAGCAGCAGGUUAAUACCCCGCUGUUCUGACGGUACCCAAAAAAUAAGCACCGGCUAACUUCGUG